UACGGGGGGGGCAAGCGUUGUUCGGAAUUACUGGGCGUAAAGGGCUCGUAGGCGGCCAACUAAGUCAGACGUGAAAUCCCUCGGCUUAACCGGGGAACUGCGUCUGAUACUGGAUGGCUUGAGUUUGGGAGAGGGAUGCGGAAUUCCAGGUGUAGCGGUGAAAUGCGUAGAUAUCUGGAGGAACACCGGUGGCGAAGGCGGCACUCCU
rnacentral:rRNA from 1 species